UUACGCUCCCUCCUUCCAUCCGUUCAUCCCCGUCUUUGCUCUCCUCCACCUCUGAGCCUGCUCAGCUCCUCUUUUCCUGCUAACUUCUUUCGCCUCCCCUCCCCCAGGUAUGCGCGUCCUCCUGCAUCGUUUCCUUGUCUCUGCUUUCUGUCAGUCCUCCCACCAUGUCGCCCAUGCUGGUUCACUGAUUUCACUAAUACAUUCCUAGACUUAUCCUUUGCAGCUGUGUUCUCAUGGAUCUUCAAGUGGCAAACUGCUGCACAGAGCUGUACUUAGGAAAUCACCGUGUCCACUCUUACGGUUACACACACAGUCCGAAACUGCUUGUCCCACGCGGGGAGCCGGAGCCUAACCUGGCAACAGAGGACGCAAGGCUGGGGGGGAAGGGAUGCACCCAGGACAGGACGCCAGUCCGUUGCAAGGCACCCCAAGGGGGACUCGAACCCCAGACCCACCGGAGAGCAGGCAUAGGCCAAACCCGCUGCACCACUAUGCCCCCAUCUUCCCAAGCUAUAUUUCAUCCCAUAUUCCUUACUUCUGUCUGAUAUGCAUAAAUGGGAAUAUACAUAAUUUCCAUCUGAGCGCAGAGAAAUAAGACUUUGGUUGUUGUAAUGGUACAAUAAUAACAAAAGCUGGCCAUGUUUUAGAAGCGAAAAGCGUUAAGGCAAGUGCAGAUUUUCGAGGAGGUCUCUGGCGAACUGUGGAAAGGUGUUAAGUGUAGGCGUCACAACACGUCUGGGUAACGGUUCAGCUUUUUUGUGGUUUAAAUGCUGCGCCGCAAUAGCCGAAUUAAUCAAAGUGUACUUUGCGUUUAGCGUGUGCACAUUUUUUAAAAUCCAAGUUUGAAGUAUAUCAUUUUAAUGACACCGGUAUGGCCAGGAACAAUAACAUGAAUAUUAGACACGAUUCUGUUGUAGGAGGUGGGCAAACAGUUGAGGAUGUAUUGUAUGACUUUAGCCCUUGUUUUCGCGAGAGCUGAAGGAGGCCCACAUUUCAUCUCAAAAUUCCCACCUUGAAGGGCCAGGAAGCAGAGAGCCAAUCGCAGGAGGCCGACAGUAAUAUAGUCGCCGACAGAUGAGCUGUUACCGCGGUGAGAUCACGC
rnacentral:lncRNA from 1 species